AUUGAAACAUCGGUUCCCAUAUGAUCACCAAAGUCAAGCAACAUCAAGCCUGAUCAAUACCUAGAUGGGUGACUGCUUGGAAAUACCAGGUGCUA
rnacentral:rRNA from 1 species